UCCACCCCUCCCCAUCCCACAGCCCCGCCGCCAGCAAACCCCAGAACCCUAGAUCUAUGCCGUAAAUCAACCAAUAAUGGAGAGGGAAAAGGUGAACUUGCUAUAGCAAAAUUCAGAGUUUGGGACUUCUCCAUAGAGCAGAGGGAGGGGAAUCAGUUUUGCAAAAAAGAAAAGAAAAUGGAUGCGGGUGCUGGUAAGGGGGCACACAGGACUCACCAUGCUGUUUCUGUAGAGGAGUCCAAAUGCUGAAGCCUCAAGAACCCAUCCUACAGAAACAACACAAAUGCAGCCGACUGGGGGGAGCUUCAUGAAUGUAUCCAGCGAUGCACCUAUGUCAUACAUGCAACUGCUGCUCGCUGCUGAACAAGAGGGUGCAAAAUAUUUGUCGUCUCAAUCACAGGAAGAACGCCUAGUUCGUACCGAGGAGUCUUACAUAAACUUAUGUAAAAAGAAAAAUGGGAAAAAUUGUGUCAAACUUAUAUACUAUUAUUUAUGUCCUGGCUGAUAAAAAAUUCUCUUAUUGUCAAAUGCAUUCAGAAUGGCAUGUUCAGGAUAACUGGCCGCUAUGGAUGAGGAACAUCAGAUGAACCAAGGCAACCAACUCCUGAUAACACAGAGCGAGUUUUGGUUGAACAGAAUCAGGAGCCUUCCCCGUUUGUUGACAACACAAAUAUAGAAGGACUGCAUGAUUUGAUCUGGGAAACUGAUGAACCUGACUGUUUACAGAACCAGCCUUCAGACAAUGAAGCUGACAGUGAUAGUGAAUCAGAUCAUAACCUUGGACAAGAUCAAAGAGAAAGUGAUAUGGCUGUUGAUAUUGUGGAACAACAACAUAACAGUGAGACAAGAGUCGAAGUUGAACAACUUUCACAAGAUGACAUCCUCAUAUUCCUUGAAAAUGAAAGCAUAAAAAAUGCUCAGAGUUGCAACCAGGAAGUUUGUAGCGAUCAUGUACCAGUUAUUGGCAUGAUUUUUGACUACCAAGAAGCAGCUUAUGGCUUCUACAAUGAAUAUGCAUGCAUAUGUGGUUUCUCUGUAAAGAGGGCAGCAUCCUUUUGUUCCAAAAAGGAAGGUGGCAAUGCACCAACAAGAAUCACUUUCAAGUGUAAUCGAUCUGGACGUAGAAUUG